GAAGUAUUUUUCAUUGUGAGCUUAAACUUCUCUUACAUUAAGAAAUCAAGAAUCAAGGUCUUAAAAGUCUCUGGAAAUGGACUAUUUUCCAGCAUCCAUUAUUGCACUAUUCCUAAUGUUUGGCAGAAAUAAUGGAGACUCAGUGACUCAAAUGGAAGGCCAACUGAUCCUUUCAGAGAAAGAUCCCCUGACUGUGAACUGCUCCUAUCCAAGCUCACUGCAUCCUACACUAUUCUGGUAUGUCCAAUACCCUGGAGAAAAUCUACAGGUCUUUCUGAAAGCUACAAAGGACAAGGAGAAGGGAAGCAACAAAGGUUUUGAAGCCAUGUAUGAUAAAGGAACCAGCUCCUUCCACUUGAAGAAAGCCUCAGUGCAGGCCUCAGACUCGGCUGUGUACUACUGUGCUCUGAGUGACACAGUGGCAUGAACCACAGGAGGAGCUGAGCACAAACUCCUAGAAGAGGCCUAGGGCCUGAUUUCUGAGUGUCUGUCUCUGGAGUCACUCUAGUUCAAGGACCAAGAACUAGAGUUUUACUGUUGCCGAAUACCACAGUAUUAUGGAGUAAAAGUCAUCCAAAUCAAUUCCAAAAAUCAGUAGAAGAACAAGAAAUAAAUGUUUCUCACACAAGAUGUUUGCACAGCAUGAAAGAGAAUAGUCUAUCUUGAUAGUUUCUCAACCAUGACAUAGCAUUGUGAUUCUAAAAGCAUAAAACUUCAAAAUAAAUAAAAUGCUCUCUAUGUUUAUUCUUACACAUAAGUGGUCUCCCUGGUACUGUCCCAGUGAUCCAAGAACAUUACCUCUAGUCAUACAGCUGUGGCA